UACGGAGGGUGCGAGCGUUGUCCGGAAUCAUUGGGCGUAAAGGGCGCGUAGGUGGCCCGGUCAGUCAGUGGUGAAAGCGCGGGGCUCAACUCCGCGUCGGCCAUUGAUACUGCUGGGCUUGAGCACUGUAGAGGCAGGCGGAAUUCCGGGUGUAGCGGUGGAAUGCGUAGAGACUCCGGAAGAACACCGGUGGCGAAGGCGGCCUGCUGGGCAGUAGCUGACACUGAGGCACGAAGGCCAGGGGAGCAAACGGG
rnacentral:rRNA from 1 species